CAAUGACCAGGGAGCAGAGGAAAUGGCCUCAGCUGCUCUGAAUAAAAGUGCUGGGAAGAGAGUGGUCAAAGGAGGUGAUGGCUAAAGGAACUUGCUUUCUAAGCUUCACUGUGAAGAUAAUCUGCUCUACUGUUGGCCAGUUGCUCAGACUGGAGUGGAAAAGCCAGGCUGUGCUCCUCCCAUCCAUGCUGCCCUGAUGACAACUGGAUUUAACUCUCCUGUUCUCUUCUCCUGCCCAGAAGUAUGGAACAAAUGAGUUUGCAGCAGUAUGAAGGUGGCAGUGAGGGAACCCCAAUCAAUGUGUCUGGUUAUGCAAAUUACAUCAAGGUGAGAAGUCAAGCCCUCGGCAUGAGUAGCCUCACAGACAUCUUUUUUUACAGAAAAGUAACUCGUGGCCACAGAAACUUAAAUGAUCAAAUCUACACUUCUCCCUCAGCAAAGGGGAAGAACAGGGUACAACCCUUGCCAGCAGAGCCACCCUACAAGGAAUGCUGCUGUCAGUGCAGUGUAGACCUGUCCCAGGGCAGCAGGGACUGGCAUCAGGCGCCAGAGAAACCCUGAGGUGUGAUUAAGAUGGUUUAAAAGUACACAUGUCUUUCCCCACGGCCAGGAGUCACCCUGGUACAGUCCCAAGCUGACCACGUGCUGUGUCCUUGGUUGUUUUUGUCAUCAAGAGCAUUUACUCAACAUGCUGAUAUUUCUGUAUGCUUAUGGCUGUGGUGGGAAAACCAGGACAUCCUGCUGUGCUACCAGUCACCUGGACAUGCAAUCCUGGUUAUUCUCACAUAAAUGCCUGCUGCUAAGAACUUCCUCCUUGGUGACAAAGCUAACUUUGUUGAAAUUUGCUCUCUCUCAAGGAUGCCAAAUAAAUUCUUCCAGAGCGCCUCUACCAAAUCUCUCACUGAAGUUCCGUAUUACACGGCAAGGGAUUUGUGUGCUUCUAUCCUUGCUUUAUGUAGCUGUCAUGGACUCUGUUUGACCUGCAAGGGGCAGUAUGUGGCUUAAAAUGCUUCCUUCUUCUACAGCUCUUUAUCAUCCAGCUCAGUGACUUUCAGAAGGAAGGAUAAUUGGAGAGCUGACUGAAUUCCCCUGACUAGGAGCUUACUUAAACAGUCUGCUUGUCUGAAUGGUGUCACACUGCUUCCUAUUAUUCCUAAUACUGAUCAAGCAUAGGAAAAGAUUUUUAAUUCCUUUAUUUUCUCAAGCUUUUAAAGCUGCUUUUUACAGUAGUCAAAAGAUUUCUUUCCCUGCAUGUUUUGAAAACUUAUAUUUCCUAUGUGAAUUUUAGAAUAGCACUGCGUGGCUCAUUUCUACAUAAUGUUUGGGUGUCAUCAUAAAUAUACCUAGAGAAAUAAGUACAUUCAGUCAACAAACAAACUUAACUUGUACACAUGAUUUCUUUCACAAGGCUGGUGUUAAAAUGCUCAGCAGGGAUAAAUUCUGCUAAAGGUUUCCUGGGUUUUAUGCCAAUAAAGUGGUUCAAGCUUAACCUAUUAAGAAGAGAAAAAAUAGGCUCAUCUGCUUUCUUUUGAGAGACAUCAGCCUGAUUUGUUUAUUUUUGCUUGUCACCCAAACUUGAAAAUAACUUCAGUGACACCUUGCAAACCUCUGUUGUGCAGAUGGAGUAAGAAAGCAGAAUUUAUACAUGCUGGGUUUUAUUCUGCAGUCUCAGCCAUGAGUCAGCCCUCUUGAGGACUGAAUGAUAAUCAUAAAUGAUGCUCUUCUCUCUGCUUCCCAUCCUCCCUCUGCUUUAUGUGUAAAGGUGCUAUGCUUCUGCCUUGUCAGCUGCAAGUCUGGUGCUUUUUCACAGGCUUUAAAAAUAAAUCUUAAAAGAAA